rnacentral:rRNA from 1 species
ACGAACGCUGGCGGCGUGCUUAACACAUGCAAGUCGAACGGAAAGGCCCUGCUUUUGUGGGGUGCUCGAGUGGCGAACGGGUGAGUAACACGUGAGUAACCUGCCCUUGACUUUGGGAUAACUUCAGGAAACUGGGGCUAAUACCGGAUAGGAGCUCCUGCUGCAUGGUGGGGGUUGGAAAGUUUCGGCGGUUGGGGAUGGACUCGCGGCUUAUCAGCUUGUUGGUGGGGUAGUGGCUUACCAAGGCUUUGACGGGUAGCCGGCCUGAGAGGGUGACCGGCCACAUUGGGACUGAGAUACGGCCCAGACUCCUACGGGAGGCAGCAGUGGGGAAUAUUGCACAAUGGGCGGAAGCCUGAUGCAGCAACGCCGCGUGCGGGAUGACGGCCUUCGGGUUGUAAACCGCUUUCGCCUGUGACGAAGCGUGAGUGACGGUAAUGGGUAAAGAAGCACCGGCUAACCACGUG